rnacentral:misc_RNA from 1 species
AAUUCAAUAUUCGCUUUAACCAAGAGACCAGAAUGAUUAAAAAGCCAAACAAGAUCCAUAUAUACACAAUUCAUUCUCAAGCUUUAGAUCAGCAGAAAUAUUAACGAAAGGGCCAAAGAAAUGGGCGAGGGAAUGAAUAUUUUGGUUCAUAAAAAGUUACUGGAGGCAUAAUCUACUCCUUAGCUGUAUCAACUCCAAAUGAGGAUACCAGUCUACUUCACUAGACGCGACCUGUGGAGGGGUCAAACAAGGUAGAAGAACAUGACCUUAUUCAUAACCAAACAAGGUUUCUUCAUCCUCAACAGCCAUGGGAAAACAUUACACCAUUGUUCAUAUUAGGCAUUAGUUUCUACCUUUGAUAAAGCUCCUCAAUUUGAUUCAUAAGUAGCUCCUCUGUAAUUUUUUGAGGUUCAGGACUUUCCCAAUCUUCCGUAAUAACAACAGUGCCUUCGCUUUCCCAGCUCUUGAAAAUUCUAUCUGGGCCAGGCUGCCAAAACACAUUUCCAUUGCUUCGCUUGAGUAUAAAUUUGAAUUGGAUUGUUGAUUCAAUGGGUACAUCCAACUCAACACUCCAAAUGUGACCAUCUGACCACUUCAUUGGUACAGCAAAUGUAGGAUUCCAUGAACCAAGAAUCGGGUCAUCACCCGACAGGAAAUAUGCGUCACCAAACAUGCACGGCCUCUGCAACUGGAAUUUCACAUGUGCAGUCUUUGGUCUUUCUGAGAAGCAGAGAAGCCUUAAAUUGUUGAUUAUUGGGAAGUUGUAUUUGCAUUCAAGAAUGUGGAGUAAAGAAUAAUGUUGCUUGCCUAGAUUUGGGAUGCCAGCUACUGCAUUUUCCAGGCCUGUUGACACCUCAGCCGCACCAGAUGCCACAUGAGAUUUAGUGAUGGAUCGAAGUGAAACCAAAUGAUCAAAGUGUAGUUUCUUGAAAGUUGGAGAUGGUGAAAAGGCAAAAUCAGAUCGAACCUGUUGAGUUAAUGUUGAGGGCGGUGGACUUUUGUUACCAUUUCUUGCGAAGAUCUUUGUGGAAAAGCUAAUUAAAGCCUCCAUUAAUGGUUAAAAAAGCGAGAGAUGCCUUGGAUUGCUG